rnacentral:rRNA from 1 species
UACGUAGGGCGCAAGCGUUGUCCGGAAUUAUUGGGCGUAAAGAGCUCGUAGGUGGUUUGUUACGUCUGCUGUGAAAACCUAGGGCUUAACCCUGGGCCUGCAGUGGAUACGGGCAGACUAGAGGUAGGUAGGGGAGAAUGGAAUUCCCGGUGUAGCGGUGAAAUGCGCAGAUAUCGGGAGGAACACCGGUGGCGAAGGCGGUUAGCUGGGCAGUUGCUGACACUGAGGCGCGACAGCGUGGGGAGCAAACAGG